rfam:Schistosoma margrebowiei strain Zambia genome assembly, scaffold: SMRZ_scaffold0000006
GCACUGCUGAGGAGUCCCAUACCAGGACGAAACGUCCUUCGAGUGC